AAAAAAAAAAAAAAAAUCCCUUGUUACACUCAUCGAAUUCUUGAACAAGCGAUCCAAAACCUUAUUUAAGAAAAGGGAAGGAAAAAAAAAUCUUUGGAACAAGCGAUCCAAAACCUUGUUAACCGACGCAUAUAUUUGAUAGCACGACAGAAUUCGAAGCGAUGGCCAGGAGCUCCUUCAAGUUGGAACACCCCUUGGGUUGUCUCUCUAUCUUUACCCAUCUUUGUAUUUAUCGAUUUCUUUCUUUUGAUUUGAUUUGCGGGUCUUUUAUAUGUAAUUUUGGAUUUUUUGAUCUGGGUUUAUGUUGGUUUUGACUAAAAUUUUCUUUUGAGGUUAAUAACAUGUCAUGGUUGUUCAUGGAUUUUGGAUUUACUUGCGGUUUCAACUUUCAAUAUCGAUCAUAUAUUGAUCUGCUGAAUACCAUAGUUGACCUUUUAGUUCGGGCCCUCUUACAUCAUGAAAUAAGGGUUUUCGAAGCUUAUUUCAGAUUCAUCUCUCGACUGUGUUUUGAUCUCGAGAUCGAUGUAAUUUCGUGUUUAAUUAUAUAUGUAACAUUAAAAGCAGAGAGGAAUUGAUCAAAUUAUAUGCUUAAUCUCUAGGAUAAGAGUUGAAUGUUAUGUUCAAUUUGAUCGAAUAGGUUUUACUGAGUUUUUGAAAUGCAUUAUUUUUUUCUUCUCACUAAUUCCUGUGCUCCAUUUGGGUUGGGGUGCAUUUGAAAUGAAUGAAAAUUUGGAUUUGUGUCUCAAGUGAAAAAUUAUAAAAUUUCAACAUAAUGUCAAGUUCAAUGCCUCAUCAUUUGAAAUUCACACCUAUCCAAAUGAAGCCUUAGUGAAUUUCAGUUUUACUGUGAAAUUUCCGGUGUGAUAGGCUUGAUGAAAGGGAAAAUACAUUGUGCAUUAGUUCUGAGGAUUGGUGUUCAAUCUGCUGAGUGGACUGGAUUCACUGGAAUUUUGGAUGUUUUGUAAUGGUGACAUCUUAUAUAUUGGCCAAGAGAUAAGUGGGGUAUUGAGAAAUAGAUAGAAAAACUUGUCAGUCAGAGAGAGGGACUGUUAUGAAUUAUGAGUUAAUAUUUAUUUUUAGUUGCAUUAACAUCUUAGAAUCUGGCUACGAACCUUUAAAUCAUCCCUAAAUUAGGGUAUGUCUGCACUUUUGUAUUCUGAUUUGUGAGAUUUCAAUGUGUAUUGGUAGCAAUUUGGAACGCAGAAUUUAAUCUGAUCAAACAUGUGGGAUAGUGAUAUAUCAUUUCCAUUUAUUCAAGUGUCUAAAGUAUAACAUUGAAUAUUUGAAUUGUGGACUAAUGAGCCAAUCAAGUAGGAUAUAGAAUUGGAAGUAUUAAACUUCUUCAUUUCUUGGAUUUUUUGGGUUUCUCUAGGACAACAUGGUAUUAUAGGUGCCUUUUUAUUGCAUUUCGUAAUGGAUAUAAUCUCGUAAAUUUCGAUACUAAAAGAAGCCUUUCCUCAGCAGUGUGCUCCAUGCUAGAUUUCUUUAUAUUUUCUAGUUAUCUUGCCAUUCCACGUGGCAUAGCAAUUCUUGUCUCAAGUAACUUUGAUUAAAAUUUAACAACCAUAACUACCAUAACUCUGAAAGAGUUAGAACAAUGAGUUUUAACUAAUUUUGUUGCCUCACUUGUUUAUUUGUUUGUUUAUGUGGACAACAAUAUCUGUUUCAAUUAAAAAAUCUAUGGAAUCAUUCCAUCACUAAAGCAAAAGCCUUUUACCCACUCAUACAUGUUAUCUAGCAUACUGCAGAACUUUUCUGUAAUUAUGAGAAGCAAUCUAAUAUCUUCCACCGUAUUGCUUUAUCUAUAAAUACCAGUUUACCAUUUCCUUAUAUUUUCAAUUAAUGGCUAUAUGUUUUUGUUUCCUCUUAAUUACAUUGCAGAAAGGAGGCAGGCAGAAUCAGCCCGUAUUAGGGAGAAGUAUCCUGAUAGAAUACCAGUAUGAAAGCCAUACUUUGUUCAUUAAUAAUGUAGUCUAUUUUUUGGAUAGAUCACAUGUAAUUUUUUGUUUCCUCAUUUUCUUUAAUGCUAAAUAGGUUAUUGUGGAGAGGGCUGAAAGAAGUGACAUACCUGACAUUGACAAAAAGAAGUUAGUGAUAUCUGCAUCUUUCCUUCUAAUUUAUCUUUUAUAUAUUUUAGUUGGAGCAUUAAUUAAUCAUUGCACAGUCUUUAGUGAACUAGGUCUCUUCUCGUGUAUUACGAUUUGCUUCUUUAAAUAGCAUUUGUUUGCCAAAUUUUACAUUUGUAGAUAGAUAGAUAUAUAGAUAGUGAGAGAGAGACUGAAAUAUUCUGAUAUCUUCCUAGUAUUCCAUGGUAUAUCACAUCAUCUUUUAUCGAAUAUGGUAAUCAGCAUGGUUCCAAAGUAGCUUGUUUGUUGGGAUUGAUGCGGCAUUAUGUACGUACUACUUAUACUAUGGAUAUUUAUAAAUUAUGGAAAGUUUGUUGGGUGUGCCAUCAGAAAGAUUUUUGUAAUCUAAAAGAGUUACUGCUUACAAAACUGAAGAGGAAAUGUUUGCUUUCCAGUACAAAUUCACGUAAUGAUUAUUCACAUCUUAAUUAUAUGGUCUGGUAUCUAUCAGGUCUCUUUUUGCUGAUUCUGGUUCUCACAUCAUUUUGGUUGCAGAUACCUGGUUCCAGCUGAUUUGACUGUUGGCCAGUUUGUUUAUGUGGUUCGGAAGAGAAUUAAGCUCAGUGCUGAGAAGGCUAUAUUCAUCUUUGUCAAGAAUGUUUUGCCGCCCACAGCUGCCAUGAUGUCAGCAAUUUACGAGGAAAACAAAGAUGAGGAUGGAUUCCUGUACAUGACCUAUAGCGGUGAGAACACCUUUGGGGCAUCAGUCAAGGGGUAGUCAAGCUGAAAUCAGGCAAGCUAAAAAGUUUGAGAUGACAGUGAACAUAUGUAAAUUCUUGGCUUUCUGUACUUACCAUGGACAAACCAUGUUUAAACUCAGGAUACUGCUCCUUACAGCCUGGAUACAAGACUGCUAUUUAACUUAAAUACUUGUGAUUUCUAUGAAUCUAGACGAGCAAAUUAAAUUAUGUGGUUCUUACUAGGCCAAUGUAAUGUUUCAGUAUGACAUUUCUGCUUCACUAACAGGUAUAUUUCUUACAAGAGCACCUUCUUGGUGGAUAGGAUUAAUGUGGUAAUUCGUGGUAAAUAAUUAUUUUUUGAAUUUACAUCAUCGUAAAAAUAGUUACAAAUAUCCAUCUCUAAUGCCCUGCCUUUGCCAUCUUCAA
rnacentral:misc_RNA from 1 species